AUUGAACGCUGGCGGCAUGCCUUACACAUGCAAGUCGAACGGCAGCACGGGAGCAAUCCUGGUGGCGAGUGGCGAACGGGUGAGUAAAGUAUCGGAACGUGCCCAGUCGUGGGGGAUAACGUAGCGAAAGUUACGCUAAUACCGCAUACGAUCUAUGGAUGAAAGCGGGGGAUCGCAAGACCUCGCGCGAUUGGAGCGGCCGAUAUCAGAUUAGGUAGUUGGUGGGGUAAAGGCUCACCAAGCCGACGAUCUGUAGCUGGUCUGAGAGGACGACCAGCCACGCAGGUACUGGAACACGGCCCAGACUACUACGGGAGGCAGCGGGGGGGAAUUUUGGACAAUGGGGGCAAGCAUGAUCCAGCCAUGCAGCGUGCAGGAUGAAGGCCUUCGGGUUGUAAACUGCUUUUGUACGGAACGAAAAGGUUUGGCUUAAUACGUUGAACUCAUGACGGUACCGUAAGAAUAAGCACCGGCUAACUACGUGCCAGCAGCCGCCGUAACAC
rnacentral:rRNA from 1 species